GUGUAAGUACACGCCUUAGUAUGGUGAAACUGCGAAUGGCUCAUUAAAUCAUAUGUGAUUUCUUAGAUCGUUGCGUCCUUUCGGGGACGACUGGAUAACUGUGGCAAUUCUAGAGCUAAUACAUGCAAUCAAGCUCCGACCUCACGGGACGAGCGCUCUUAUUAGACCAAGGCCAACCUGCUAGUUCGCUGGCAGUUUGCUGUGGUGACUCUGGAUAAAGCUCAGUUAAUCGCAUGACCUUUGCGUCGGCGAUGUAUCUUUCAAGCGUAUGCCCUAUCAGCUGUCGACGGUAGGGUAGCGGCCUACCGUGGCAAUUACGGGUAACGGGGGAUCAGGGUCCGAUCCCGGAGAGUAAGCCUGAGAGACGGCUUAUACAUCUAAGGAAGGCAGCAGGCGCGCAAAUUACCCAAUGGGGACACCCUGAGGUAGUGACAAGAAAUAACAAUACGCGACUCUUUCGAGGCCGCGUAAUUGGAAUGAGCACAUUCUAAAUCCUUUAGCGAGGAUCAAUUGGAGGGCAAGUCUGGUGCCAGCAGCCGCGGUAAUUCCAGCUCCAAUAGCGUAUAUUAAAGUUGCUGCAGUUAAAAAGCUCGUAGUUGACAUCCGACGCUCGUCUCGGCGGUCCUGUUCACGCAGGCACUGCCUUGACGGCAUCUACACACUGGCUUGCGGUCGUGCACGCUCGGCGACGGGUAGCACAGAUCGGAGCCCCGGGUGCCCUUCAUUGGGUGCCCGCGGGUGGCCUUUGCGUUUACUUUGAAGAAAUUAGAGUGUUCAAAGCGGGCUCUUGACAGCUCGUAUACUCGGUACAUGGAAUAAUGGAAUAGGACCCUGGUUCAUUUCCGUUGGUCUAUGGGCAAUGGGUAAUGAUUAAAAGGGACUGCCGGGGGCAUUGGUAUGGCGGGGGGAGAGGUGAAAUUCUGUGAUCCUCGCCAGACUGACUACAGCGAAAGCAUUUGCCAAGA
rnacentral:rRNA from 1 species